rnacentral:rRNA from 1 species
UACGUAGGGGGCAAGCGUUGUUCGGAAUGACUGGGCGUAAAGGGUGCGUAGGCGGUGUAGCAAGUUAGAAGUGAAAUACUUAGAGCUUAACUCAGGUGCUGCUUCUAAAACUGCUAUACUUGAGUGCAGUAGAGGAAAGUGGAAUUCCUAGUGUAGCGGUGGAAUGCGUAGAUAUUAGGAGGAACAUCAGUGGCGAAGGCGACUUUCUGGACUGUAACUGACGCUGAGGCACGAAAGUGUGGGGAGCAAACAGG